rnacentral:lncRNA from 11 species
UAUUACAAAAAAAUAUAUAUAUUCAAGUAGUGCCUCUUUUUCAGAUGAAGGAUACUCAACUUGUUCAGGAUUGACCCAAGUUGGAGAUAACCCAUUGCAGUACCACCUCCUGCCUGCAGAGGGUGCUGUGGUUUCCUAGCCAUAUGCUCAAGUGUCAACUCUACUUCCUUCUUCGGCCACUUCCUGUCCAGGUUAUCCAUGAAAUCCUUCUGUUUUCUGCGCUGGGCAAACACUGUUUGAGGUUUUCCAAAAAUGAGUAAGAAUCUUCAGGAACUAAGGGAAGCAUUACAAAAACAAACACUAGAGACCUUGAAGCUCCAGGAAGAAGCAAAAAAAUUCCCAACAGAACCUCUCUCACGCCGGGAAACAGCUAGUUAUCCUUAUACUGUUGUUACAGGUAUGUGCAGCACAUAGUAUAGUGGUAGAGCAAUUCAAGAAUGCUUUGAAGAGUGCUUUUCCAUAAAUGACUA